CCUACGGGAGGCAGCAGUGGGGAAUAUUGCACAAUGGGGGGAACCCUGAUCCAGCGACGCCGCGUGAGGGAAUAAGUCUCUGCGUGUCGAAAGCCCUAUCAGCAGGGAAGAAAUUGACGGGACCUGACUAAGAAGCCCCAGCCAACGACGUACCAGCAGCCGCGGAAAUACGGAGGGGACACGCGGUAUCCGGGUUGACUGGGUGUAAAGGGAGCGUGAACGGGGCUGCUAGGCCGGCGUGAAAGCCCGUGGGCUAACCAUCGGCCUGCUCUGGGAACUGGGGGGCUUGAGUGCGGGAGGAGCAGGCGGAAUUCCUAGUGUAGCGGUGAAAUGCGUAGAUAUUAGGAGGAACACCGGCGGCGAAGGCGGCAUGCUGGCCCGUAACUGACGUUGAGGCUCGAAAGUGUGGGGAGCGAACAGGAUUAGAUACCCGAGUAGUC
rnacentral:rRNA from 1 species